rnacentral:rRNA from 1 species
GACGGAGGAUGCAAGUGUUAUCCGGAAUCACUGGGCGUAAAGCGUCUGUAGGUGGUUCGAAAAGUCCACUGUUAAAAAUUGAAGCUUAACUUCAAAGAUGCCGUGGAAACUUUCAAACUAGAGUGUGGUAGGGGUAGAGGGAAUUUCCAGUGGAGCGGUGAAAUGCGUAGAUAUCGGAAGGAACAUCAGUGGCGAAAGCGACUUCCUGGACCAGUACCGACGUUCAGGCACGAAAGCGUGGGGAGCAAACAGG